GAUGAACGCUGGCGGCGUGCCUAAUACAUGCAAGUCGAGCGAACAGACGAGGAGCUUGCUCCUCUGACGUUAGCGGCGGACGGGUGAGUAACACGUGGAUAACCUACCUAUAAGACUGGGAUAACUUCGGGAAACCGGAGCUAAUACCGGAUAAUAUAUUGAACCGCAUGGUUCAAUAGUGAAAGACGGUUUUGCUGUCACUUAUAGAUGGAUCCGCGCCGCAUUAGCUAGUUGGUAAGGUAACGGCUUACCAAGGCAACGAUGCGUAGCCGACCUGAGAGGGUGAUCGGCCACACUGGACCUGAGACACGGUCCAGACUCCUACGGGAGGCAGCAGUAGGGAAUCUUCCGCAAUGGGCGAAAGCUUGACGGAGAAACGCCGCGUGAGUGAUGAAGGUAUUCGGAUCGUAAAACUCUGUUAUUAGGGAAGAACAAAUGUGUAAGUAACUAUGCACGUCUUGACGGUACCUAAUCAGAAAGCCACGGCUAACUACGUG
rnacentral:rRNA from 1 species